rnacentral:rRNA from 1 species
GGACGAACGCUGGCGGCGUGCCUAAUACAUGCAAGUAGAACGCACAGUUUAUACCGUAGCUUGCUACACCAUAGACUGUGAGUUGCGAACGGGUGAGUAACGCGUAGGUAACCUGCCUGGUAGCGGGGGAUAACUAUUGGAAACGAUAGCUAAUACCGCAUAAUAUUGAUUAUUGCAUGAUAAUUGAUUGAAAGAUGCUAUUGCAUCACUACCAGAUGGACCUGCGUUGUAUUAGCUAGUAGGUGAGGUAACGGCUCACCUAGGCGACGAUACAUAGCCGACCUGAGAGGGUGAUCGGCCACACUGGGACUGAGACACGGCCCAGACUCCUACGGGAGGCAGCAGUAGGGAAUCUUCGGCAAUGGACGAAAGUCUGACCGAGCAACGCCGCGUGAGUGAAGAAGGUUUUCGGAUCGUAAAGCUCUGUUGUAAGAGAAGAACGGGUGUGAGAGUGGAAAGUUCACACUGUGACGGUAUCUUACCAGAAAGGGACGGCUAACUACGUG